AUCUAUGGCCAUACCACCCUGAACGCACCUGAACGCAUCUGACCUCGGAAGCUAAGCAGGGUUGGGCCUGAUUAGUAGUUGGAUGGGAGAACCCCUUUCCACUUAAACUUACUACACUUG
rnacentral:rRNA from 1 species